CGCUGGCGGCGUGCUUAACACAUGCAAGUCGAACGGUAAGGCCUUUCGGGGUACACGAGUGGCGAACGGGUGAGUAACACGUGGGUGAUCUGCCCUGCACUUUGGGAUAAGCCUGGGAAACUGGGUCUAAUACCGAAUAGGACCAUGGACUUCACGGUUUGUGGUGGAAAGCUUUUGCGGUGUGGGAUGGGCCCGCGGCCUAUCAGCUUGUUGGUGGGGUAAUGGCCUACCAAGGCGACGACGGGUAGCCGGCCUGAGAGGGUGACCGGCCACACUGGGACUGAGAUACGGCCCAGACUCCUACGGGAGGCAGCAGUGGGGAAUAUUGCACAAUGGGCGCAAGCCUGAUGCAGCGACGCCGCGUGAGGGAUGACGGCCUUCGGGUUGCAAACCUCUUUCAGCACAGACGAAGCGCAAGUGACGGUAUGUGCAGAAGAAGGACCGGCCAACUACGUG
rnacentral:rRNA from 1 species